CGAAAGUUGCAGCACUAGAGGAGCAGCUUCGUAAAUCUCGACAAGAGGCCUCUGAUAAUCAAAAUCUCUGUCAGCAAUUAGAAAAGGAAUUGAAGGAACUAAAAGAUUAUGAGCAACAAAUGAAGCCCAAGAGAACUAAAAUGAUAUCUGAUCUGCUGAUAUCUGUCUCAAAAGCAGAAAGACAGGAAGCUAGGAUGAAGGUCCGACAGGAUUCUUUAAGACUUGGCAACGUGGGUGUGAUUAGAGCUGGAACUGUCAU
rnacentral:misc_RNA from 1 species